AGGCCCCUUCCCCCAGCGGGUUGUUUUCUGCCUGAGGGAGCGGAAGGGCCGCGCUGUGUCGUCAGGGAAGAAGGGAGAACGGUCCUCAGCGUCUGCCCCGAACCUGGCUGUGUCCCCCCACCCUCUCUGCCAUCAGAGCGCGACACAGCGCGGCCCUCCACUCGCGGGGCUGUCCGCCUGCUUGGCCGGCCCGGCUCCCCACAGUCAGGGCCCGGCGCUAGACGGCGGAGCAGGAAGGCAGAGAAAGAUGCAGGCACGGACCCUGCCCACCUUCGAGUGCGCGCUCGGAGACCCACUCCGGAUUCCUUGAGUUAGUGUUUUUGAAGAAAUGUAUGGGAAGGGAAUGUAGGAAGAUUAAACGUGAGGAGGCAGAUUCAGGGGCUGGGCGCCAUCAGGGCAGCUCCUGGGUCCCUGAGCCGCCAUCAUGGCGGUUCCACUCCAGCCUGUGGGCCUCGUGUCACUGUCCACGGUUCAGAUCCGCAGGGGAGGAAAGGACUGCUGUCUUGGCCGCAUGUUAACCCCUGCACUGGGGAGGGGGUUGCAGUUUGACUGAAAGUCCCUUGUGCACCACAGUGGCAGGAACGGGGAGUCUCUCAGUGGACGCCUGAGGACCUGUCGUCGGAAGAAGAAGAGCACGCCAGCAGAGCAACCUCACAUGCCCUCCCAGAAUCCUACCUGCACCACGCCCCUCCAGCCCAGCCAGCCUGCCCCCACCCAAACAUCCCUCCCUCCUCGUCCUUGCUUGUGCUGGGAUCCCUCCUGGAAGGCUCCUCUCCCUGUCUGCCCCUCGACUUUCAUCGUCCUUCAAGACCCAGGCCUCUGUUUGGAUCACGGUGGACCGCAGGUUUCGUGUAAAUCCACUGGCGGCUUCCUGUGAACAUGGACCUUCACAGGCUGCACUAGGCCUGGUCCCAUUUCCUCCUCACCAUUUAUCAUUUCCUAACACUGAAAGACAGAAAAA